CUGAAACAUCUGCUUUUCUUCUACUUUCAGUUAUUUCAUGCAGAUGGUCUUCCUGGUUUUUACACAGAAGGAAGAUGAGACAAAUAUGCCGUUGGAAAAGGCUGAAGGAAAGAGAUGCCAAGUGUCAGUAAAGAAAGAGCUUUGGUUGAAUACAGUACGUAACUCCAAGCUACAGUACUCCAAGCCCCUUCCCCAGUAUUCAAUACGUAGUUGUAAGACAAGGUGCGUCUCUAGAUUAGGAAUGCUGUUCCUUUCUCACAUAGAGAAGCAUGAAAUCUAAGUACCUAACUAAAGCUGUGUAUUGGAUGUGGAUGCCACAAAGCAGCUGAAUUUACAAGCCUUGUGAAGUUCAAGACCUCAAAUUUUGAUCUUCUGCUACAGACA
rnacentral:lncRNA from 1 species